rnacentral:tRNA from 1 species
UUUAAGCUUCAUAUAUAAAGAUUUUUACCUUUUAUUAGAA